GAUGAACGCUGGCGGCGUGCUUAACACAUGCAAGUCGAACGAUGAAGCCCAGCUUGCUGGGUGGAUUAGUGGCGAACGGGUGAGUAACACGUGAGUAACCUGCCCUUGACUCUGGGAUAAGCCCGGGAAACUGGGUCUAAUACCGGAUAGGAGCGCCUGUCGCAUGACGGGUGUUGGAAAGAUUUUUCGGUCAUGGAUGGACUCGCGGCCUAUCAGCUUGUUGGUGAGGUAAUGGCUCACCAAGGCGACGACGGGUAGCCGGCCUGAGAGGGUGACCGGCCACACUGGGACUGAGACACGGCCCAGACUCCUACGGGAGGCAGCAGUGGGGAAUAGUGCACAAUGGGCGGAAGCCUGAUGCAGCGACGCCGCGUGGGGGAUGACGGCCUUCGGGUUGUAAACCUCUUUCAGUAGGGAAGAAGCGAAAGUGACGGUACCUGCAGAAGAAGCACCGGCUAACUACGUG
rnacentral:rRNA from 1 species